ACUCGAGUAGGGCCCAAGCAAGCCAGGAAGGAGGAGGCAGCCAGAGUGUUCUCUGCAGCAGAAGACCCCUUGCGGCCCUGCUUAACCCAGACCAGCAUUUGCCAGAUUAUGAAUGAGACCAUGAAUCCUAGGAACAUCACAGCACCAACAAUGAUGAGUACAGCUUCCAUCAGGUGCAGCAAUUUAAUCUUAUUUGUUACUUUUGAUCUGAAAAAUUCCGCCUUCUGAUCAUCAAUAGUACCCGUCUGGAGAGAAGAAAAAAUGUCUACAAACAUCAUUCCAAGCCGAAGCAAUUUCUCAUUGUUGUUGUUUUGAAAUGACAACUCCUCUAUGCAGAACAUAAAUGAUAAUCAUUCUGUUUUAAAUUUGGUGCUA